rnacentral:rRNA from 1 species
CACGAACCGUACGAACGUUAUUCGGAAUUACUGGGCUUAAAGGGUUUGUAGGCGGCCUUGUAAGUCAGGUGUGAAAUCCCUCGGCUCAACCGAGGAAUGGCGCUUGAUACUGCAAGGCUCGAGGGAGACAGGGGUAAGCGGAACUGAUGGUGGAGCGGUGAAAUGCGUUGAUAUCAUCAGGAACACCGGUGGCGAAAGCGGCUUACUGGGUCUCUUCUGACGCUGAGGAACGAAAGCUAGGGUAGCGAACGGG